ACGCUGGCGGCGUGCCUAAUACAUGCAAGUCGAACGGUCUUUCUAUGGAAGCUUGCUCCACUGAGAAGAUAGUGGCGAACGGGUGAGUAACACGUGGGUAACCUGCCCAUAAGAGGGGGGAUAACAUCCGGAAACGGGUGCUAAUACCGCAUAGUUUUCUUGAUCGCAUGAUCGGGAAAGGAAAGACGGCCUUUGUGCUGUCGCUUAUGGAUGGACCCGCGGCGUAUUAGUUAGUUGGUGAGGUAACGGCUCACCAAGACGAUGAUACGUAGCCGACCUGAGAGGGUGAUCGGCCACAUUGGGACUGAGACACGGCCCAAACUCCUACGGGAGGCAGCAGUAGGGAAUCUUCCGCAAUGGACGAAAGUCUGACGGAGCAACGCCGCGUGAGUGAAAGAAGGUUUUCGGAUCGUAAAACUCUGUUGUCAGAGAAGAACAAGUUGGAGAGUAACUGCUCCAGCCUUGACGGUAUCUGACCAGAAAGCCACGGCUAACUACGUGCCAGCCGCGGC
rnacentral:rRNA from 1 species